rnacentral:rRNA from 1 species
UACGUAGGGGGCAAGCGUUGUCCGGAAUUAUUGGGCGUAAAGCGCGUGUAGGCGGCUCGGUAAGUCUGCUGUGAAAGCCAAGGCUCAACCUUGGAAAGCCGGUGGAUACUGUCGAGCUCGAGUCCGGAAGAGGCGAGUGGAAUUCCUGGUGUAGCGGUGAAAUGCGCAGAUAUCAGGAGGAACACCAAUGGCGAAGGCAGCUCGCUGGGACGGUACUGGACGCUGAGGCGCGAAAGCGUGGGGAGCAAACAGG